GAUGAACGCUGGCGGCGUGCCUAAUACAUGCAAGUCGAGCGAACAGACGAGGAGCUUGCUCCUCUGACGUUAGCGGCGGACGGGUGAGUAACACGUGGAUAACCUACCUAUAAGACUGGGAUAACUUCGGGAAACCGGAGCUAAUACCGGAUAAUAUAUUGAACCGCAUGGUUCAAUAGUGAAAGACGGUUUUGCUGUCACUUAUAGAUGGAUCCGCGCCGCAUUAGCUAGUUGGUAAGGUAACGGCAUACCAAGGCAACGAUGCGUAGCCGACCUGAGAGGGUGAUCGGCCACACUGGAACUGAGACACGGUCCAGACUCCUACGGGAGGCAGCUGUAGGGAAUCUUCCGCAAUGGGCGAAAGCCUGACGGAGCAACGCCGCGUGAGUGAUGAAGGUCUUCGGAUCGUAAAACUCUGUUAUUAGGGAAGAACAAAUGUGUAAGUAACUAUGCACGUCUUGACGGUACCUAAUCAGAAAGCCACGGCUAACUACGUG
rnacentral:rRNA from 1 species